AAGUCGUAACAAGGUUUCCGUAGGUGAACCUGCGGAAGGAUCAUUACCGAAAAACAAACCCACAAAUGUGCCGCGAGUGCGCGUGCGUACCAUGCACCAGUGGUGUGUGGUGCGCAUGUGUGCUGGCGCGCACGUUUUGUGUGCUUAACCCCUUGUGUGAAACAACCCGUUUUCUAUGUGUGCCCGUGGCCGUGUGUGCGUGCUGUUGUGCCGUUGACGACUUGCUCGUUGACGGUGUAUACAGCGCGCGCGCGGCCAUAUGCACACAUGAUCAACACCCCACAUUCAAUCACAACCCAACCUUUUGGACUGAAUAUGCUUCUGUUUUUUUUUGAAAAACAAAAAAUCAAAAAACAACUUUUAACAACGGAUCUCUAGGCUCUC
rnacentral:misc_RNA from 1 species